UAACGCGUGAGGAACCUGCCUCAAAGAGGGGGACAACAGUUGGAAACGACUGUUAAUACCGCAUGACGCAUGACCGGGGCAUCCCGGGCAUGUCAAAGAUUUUAUCGCUGGAAGAUGGCCUCGCGUCUGAUUAGCUAGAUGGUGGGGUAACGGCCCACCAUGGCGACGAUCAGUAGCCGGACUGAGAGGUUGACCGGCCACAUUGGGACUGAGAUACGGCCCAG
rnacentral:rRNA from 1 species